GAUGAACGCUAGCGACAGGCUUAACACAUGCAAGUCGAGGGGCAGCGGAGUUGUAGCUUGCUAUAACUGCCGGCGACCGGCGCACGGGUGAGUAACACGUAUGCAACCUGCCCGUUGCAGGGGGAUAAGCGGAAGAAAUUCCGUCUAAUACCGCGUAAUAUACUUUAGGGGCAUCCUUUUAGUAUUAAAGAUUUAUCGGCAACGGAUGGGCAUGCGGCGCAUUAGCUAGUUGGUGAGGUAACGGCUCACCAAGGCAACGAUGCGUAGGGGUUCUGAGAGGAAGGUCCCCCACACUGGUACUGAGACACGGACCAGACUCCUACGGGAGGCAGCAGUGAGGAAUAUUGGUCAAUGGGCGAGAGCCUGAACCAGCCAAGUCGCGUGAGGGAAGACGGCCCUACGGGUUGUAAACCUCUUUAGUCGGGGAGCAAAAAGGAUCACGCGUGGUCCAUUGAGCGUACCCGAAGAAUAAGCAUCGGCUAACUCCGUG
rnacentral:rRNA from 1 species